CUGCUGGGGUCAAUGUUGUCUUGUGUCCAAGUGUCUCUGUCAAUGGUGUCAUUGGAGAAGUCUUUUGAGCUUGUGAGAGGACUUGGAAAAUGGCUGCUUGGUGAACCUGCAUCUGUUUUCUGAACAACAGGGUGGAAGUGGUAAGGGAACGUGAGGCAAAGGCUAUGGGACAUUCACCGUCAUCACUCACAGCGUGUGACAUGACUGCACCUAUACCACAUGGCACCUGUCCCUCCCAGGCCAUGCCACAUGAAGCAACAUACGAAACAAUCACAAGGUGAGGCAUCGCUGGAUGGUGUGGAUCAUAAUGUAUAGAGUGCAUUGCAGCCCUUCGAACCGCACCGCACAACAACCCCCGAUUUAACCCUAGACUCAUCACAGGACAAUUUACAAUGACCAAUUAAUUUGCUAACGGGAUGACUUUGGACUGGAGGACCCUGAGAUAACACUGGGAGGACAGAAGACGUCGGGAUUGAACUCUGACACCCCGAACUGGAACAGCGUCGCGCUAGCCGCUACACUACCGUGAGGCCCAGGCUCACGCUCCCACACAGUGCCACUCAGUCCUGCAGUCUGGCGUCCUGCGCGCACCUCAGGGUCUUUGGCAUCCUAGGAAUUCAGUCGCGGCAAGCAGCAGUCCAGGUCCUCUGGAAUCCGCCUUGCCAGCCCAGACCCUGAACCUCCACGGUCAUGCCCCAAGUGUGGUCACGGAGGAUGGCCAAUUGCUGGAGCCCGAUGCAAACACCACAGAGACUACAGACCUACUACCACAGCCCCUGUAUACCAGACCGUCAAAUAUCUGAUGGGUACGUGAUUUAAGGAGGAAGACCAGAGGCAUUGAUCAGAGCAUAUAUUGAGCCGAUGGUACAAUGAAUGUAAAGACAGCCAUGUCCCAAAUUGCACUUACUGUAUGUAUAAUGAGUAAAGUGUAAAUUUUAAAUUAUUGAGCUUAUCCACAUCACCAAUGACCAAAAAUGAGACUAUUUAACUCCCAAGGUCUGAGAUUCCUUCUUUAAAGCUCAGUGUUAUUUCCCUUACUGCACAGAGCAAGAUCAUUUGGUUUAUCGAGUGUAUCAUUGGCAAUCAUGAAAAUUUUUAAGCUCUCUUUUUGUUUAUCACUUUUACUCAAUUCUGGUUAAUUUAAUUAGCACUGUAUUUGCAAUGUCUUGUUUUGUAGCUGUUGGCUUUGGGGAUUAUUGCUUUGUCUGGACACCUUUGUUGUCUGAUUAGUUGUGCUCCAGGGUGUAUUUCAGGGGAAAAUACCAACCCCACUUUGCUGGGUCGUUGUGGCUCCUUAUCUGGCAUAAAUCAGACCAGAUUUUUCUGUGUAUCUUCAGAGAUAUCAGUUCAACAAGAUUUUGAAUAGUUUGCCUGAAUUCCUGUUAGUUUUUCUCAUUAAUUUCCAUAAUAAAUCUUUAGUUGUGUUUAAAUUGCUGAAGCCCCUGUAAUUCUUGCAGGAAUUCGUUAGUGACCCUCACAAGGAAUUGCAGUACGUUGGUUGAAAGAGCAUGCAAGCUUCAUAGAGACAGCAUCAAGUUCAAGAUUGAACCCUGUUCUCUAGAGCUGGGCAUCAAAGCUACCUCCUGUGCCUCCACACUACCCAUCUUCCUCCUCCUUUAAGCCUACAAGGUUUCAGUCACC